CGUAACACGUAGGUAAUCUACCCUCGAGCGGGGAGUAACGUUUCGAAAGAGACGCUAAUACCGCAUAAGACCCCAGGCAGUCCGCUGCCAGGGGCCAAAGAGUGGGAUCUUCGGACCACUCACUUGAGGAGGAGCCUGCGGCUCAUCAGCUUGUUGGUAGGGUAAUGGCCUACCAAGGCUAAGACGGGUAGCUGGUCUGAGAGGAUGAUCAGCCACACUGGUACUGGAACACGGACCAG
rnacentral:rRNA from 1 species